AAUUCUCAACCAUGUGUCUUGAUUGAUUCAUGGAUUGGAGGUUGGGGGUUGCUGGCGGCGAUCUGGCUGUUGGCUCUCCUGAAAUGCAUUAGCAAAAGGGGUGUGGAAUGUCUUUAAUGGCGUGCACGGCCUUCGAUGUGAUAAUGAUCGUCGUGGCUGGAGCGCCUGGAAAAUCUCCCCUUCUCCCUCAUGCUUCUAAUCUGUAUUGCUAGCCAGUGUUCUGGCUAGCUUUCUUGUGA
rnacentral:misc_RNA from 1 species